rnacentral:lncRNA from 1 species
AUGAUCAAUAUUCUCUCUUUGCUUUUCGGAAAUUUUCUUAAUUUCUUCUUUUAAAAUAGAGUUUUUCUUUUUAAGAAUAACAUGAUUUAAAGCGAGUUUUUCAAAAUUUUCAAACAUUUCAUCAUAAGAAAUUGAAAGCUCAUCAUAAGAACAUACCUCGUCUUCGAUUGCCAUGAAGCACAUAUUUGCCACUUCAUCUUGACUAUCAUUUCCAUUUUGUUCUUCGUCGUCGCUAUCAUCC